UACGUAGGGUGCAAGCGUUAAUCGGAAUUACUGGGCGUAAAGCGUGCGCAGGCGGCUUUGCAAGACAGAUGUGAAAUCCCCGGGCUUAACCUGGGAACUGCAUUUGUGACUGCAUGGCUAGAGUGCGGCAGAGGGGGAUGGAAUUCCGCGUGUAGCAGUGAAAUGCGUAGAUAUCGGAAGGAACACCCGUGGCGAAGGCGGCUCUCUGGGACGGUACUGACGCUGAGACGCGAAAGCGUGGGGAGCGAACAGG
rnacentral:rRNA from 1 species